rnacentral:rRNA from 1 species
UACGUAGGCAGCAAGCGUUGUUCGGAGUUACUGGGCGUAAAGGGUGCGUAGGCGGUUUGACAAGUCUGAUGUGAAAUCUAUGGGCUCAACCCAUAGUCUGCAUCGGAAACUGUCGGACUUGAGUAUGGGAGAGGUGAGUGGAAUUUCCGGUGUAGCGGUGAAAUGCGUAGAUAUCGUCUGGAACGCCGAAGGUGAAAAACAGCUCGCUGGGGCUGCGCUGACGCUGAGACACGAAAGCCAGGGGAGCGAACGGG